UACAGAGGGGGCUAGCGUUGUUCGGAAUUACUGGGCGUAAAGGGCGCGUAGGUGGCCUGUUAAGUCGAACGUGAAAUCCCCGGGCUCAACCCGGGAACUGCGUCCGAGACUGGCAGGCUCGAAUCCGGGAGAGGGAUGUGGAAUUCCAGGUGUAGCGGUGAAAUGCGUAGAUAUCUGGAGGAACACCGGUGGCGAAGGCGGCAUCCUGGACCAAUAUUGACGCUGAGGAGCGAAAGCCAGGGGAGCAAACGGG
rnacentral:rRNA from 1 species